AGUGAACGCUGGCGGUAUGCCUAACACAUGCAAGUCGAACGGCAGCACAGUAAGAGCUUGCUCUUACGGGUGGCGAGUGGCGGACGUGUUAGGAAUACAUCGGAAUCUACUUUUUCGUGGGGGAUAACGUAGGGAAACUUACGCUAAUACCGCAUACGACCUACGGGUGAAAGCAGUUGAUCUUCGGACCUUGCGCGAUUGAAUGAGCCGAUGUCGGAUUAGCUAGUUGGCGGGGUAAAGGCCCACCAAGGCGACGAUCCGUAGCUGGUCUGAGAGGAUGAUCAGCCACACUGGAACUGAGACACGGUCCAGACUCCUACGGGAGGCAGCAGUGGGGAAUAUUGGACAAUGGGCGCAAGCCUGAUCCAGCAAUACCGCGUGGGUGAAGAAGGCCUUCGGGUUGUAAAGCACUUUUGUUGGGAAAGAAAAGCAGCAGGUUAAUACACCGCUGUUAUGACGGUACCCAAAGAAUAAGCACCGGCUAACUUCGUG
rnacentral:rRNA from 1 species